GUGGGGAAUAUUGGACAAUGGGCGAAAGCCUGAUCCAGCCAUGCCGCGUGUGUGAAGAAGGUCUUCGGAUUGUAAAGCACUUUAAGUUGGGAGGAAGGGCAGUAAGUUAAUACCUUGCUGUUUUGACGUUACCGACAGAAUAAGCACCGGCUAACUUCGUGCCAGCAGCCGCGGUAAUACGAAGGGUGCAAGCGUUAAUCGGAAUUACUGGGCGUAAAGCGCGCGUAGGUGGUUUUGUAAGUUGGAGGUGAAAUCCCCGGGCUCAACCUGGGAACUGCCUCCAAAACUGCAUGACUAGAGUACGGUAGAGGGUAGUGGAAUUUCCUGUGUAGCGGUGAAAUGCGUAGAUAUAGGAAGGAACACCAGUGGCGAAGACGACUACCUGGACUGAUACUGACACUGAGGUGCGAAAGCGUCGGGAGCAAACAGGAUUAGAAACCCGGGUAGUCC
rnacentral:rRNA from 1 species